CGAAACAAUAUUCAGAUGCAAAACUAUUAAAGGUUGUAGAUACAAAAACACAAAGUAACGAACGAGGAAUUUUACAACUUUUUAAAACACUGCUUGAAAGUUGCCAGGACAAUUUAUCAUUGUACCAAAAGAAAUUCGUCAAAUGCCAGCUUUUCAUCACUGAGUGAGAUGGAGGCCUAUCAAGUCUGAAGAGCAAGUCUCUGGGAUGGGAAGGAAAGACUAUAGAGAACUUGAAGUUCAUUAUCUCGCAUAAAGUUCAGCUUUCUGAAACUCUUCUUGAAAGCGGAAAAGACAGUUUAUCAUUAUACAUCAAAAGACAUGCGGAGUUAUUUGUCCGAUUAUGCAUCACUGAGAGAGGUGGAUGCAUCGAGUCUAAAGAGCAAUUUUCUAAAUCACUGCUUGAAAGAGUCAUUGCAUCAAACGGACAUUGUUAUUAGUCUGGUGCCUCACGGAGUGAGAUGGAAGCCUAUAUAGUGUAAAGAGUAAAGAGCAAUUUUCUAAAUCACUGCUUGAAAGAAUCAUUGCAUCAAACGGACAUUGUUAUUAGUCUGGUGCCUCACGGAGUGAGAUGGAAGCCUAUAUAGUGUAAAGAGUAAAGAGCAACUGAUCCUCUGCUAAUAAGUGCUAAUACAAUACAAUGCAGCAAUAAUCGCGAAAGUCGUU